rnacentral:rRNA from 1 species
UGCAAGCGAAUGCAGCGUGAAUGACUUAGCGUCCUGAUAAGACCUACGGCUUUCUUGUUGACUAGUGGCCAGGAAGAUAUGUUUCUAAUCUAUCAGCUCAGUAGUUUCGGUAAAGGCGAAACGAGGCUAUAACGGAUACGGGGGAUUGGUGUCCAACUCCGGAGAGAGAGCCUGAGAAACGGCUAUCACAUCUAAGGACGGCAGCAGGCGCGUAAAUUACCCAAUCCUAAUUCAGGGAGGUAGUGACAAGACAUAGCGACUUUACACCUAAUGGUGGAAAGGUACCACUUUGUGGUUUGAAAUGGAUGGAGAUUAAACCUCUCCAUGAGUAGCAAUUAGAGGACAAGUCUGGUGCCGGCACCCGCGGUAAUUCCAGCUCUAAAAGUGUAUAUUAAUACUGUUGUAGUUAAAACGCCCGUAGUAAACCAAAGGGUCAUAGUUACUGAUCUGAUCAGUUCUGUUCAUCGUAGUCGGCCACGUAUUGUGGUUGAUUGGGUGAAUAAGGACAGGUCCUCGGUCUCUAACGGAAGCGAACGGGUUCGCCCUAUUAGUUUCCGCCGUGGGAUAGGUCAAUGACUAUGGCUCGUUCCCUAUCAGUCCGCAAGGUCUGAUAGGGCCAAUUGGCACAACCGUAAACAAAUCAGAGUGCUCCAAGCAGGCAAUGUUAGGGGUAACCCAUUUGCUUGAAUGAUUUAGCAUGGAAUUGUCACGAAGCCGAUCGGAAGCUUUGAGGGUUCGCCUAAGAAGUGGAAGAUCCGGCGUUUGCAAUGAGACACUGGUAGAGGAUCCAAGUACUAUGGCGCGAGAGGUGAAAUUCAGUGACCGCCAUAUGACUAUCUAAUGCGAAAGCAGUUGUGAUCCAGAACGUGUCUGUCAAUCAGGGACGAAAGUUAAGGGAUCGAAGAUGAUUAGAUACCGUCGUAGUCUUAACCGUAAACGAUACCAACAACGAGAUUGGUAGUGAGACUUUUAGAUCCUAUCAGAAUCCAAGGGGAACCGUUAAGUUUUUGGGUUCUGGGGGGAGUAUGGUCGCAAGGCUGAAACUUAAAGGAAUUGACGGAAAGGCACCACCAGGAGUGGAGUAUGCGGCUUAAUUCGACCCAACGCGGGGAAACUCACCAAGUUAGGAUGUGAAUAUGAUUGACAGAUUAAGGUUCUUUCUUGAUUUUACAGAAGGUGGUGCAUGGUCGUUCUUAGUUCGUGGAGUGAUUCGUCUUGUUAAUUCAGUUAACGAGCGAGACCUUAACUUGCUAAUUAAGGUACAGGGGCUUCUUCGGUUGUCCGUCGUUUCGUUGAAGGAGUGUAUACUCCUUCAGGAAACCUGUACUGUCGCUGGAUUUCCAGUGAUGCUUCUUAGAGGUACAGC